UAAACCAUGCACCGAAGCUGCGGCAGCGACACUAUGUGUUGUUGGGUAGGGGAGCGUUCUGUAAGCCUGCGAAGGUGUGCUGUGAGGCAUGCUGGAGGUAUCAGAAGUGCGAAUGCUGACAUAAGUAACGAUAAAGCGGGUGAAAAGCCCGCUCGCCGGAAGACCAAGGGUUCCUGUCCAACGUUAAUCGGGGCAGGGUGAGUCGACCCCUAAGGCGAGGCCGAAAGGCGUAGUCGAUGGGAAACAGGUUAAUAUUCCUGUACUUGGUGUUACUGCGAAGGGGGGACGGAGAAGGCUAUGUUAGCCGGGCGACGGUUGUCCCGGUUUAAGCAUGUAGGCUGAUUAUCCAGGCAAAUCCGGAUAAUCAAGGCUGAGGUGUGAUGACGAGGCACUACGGUGCUGAAGUAACAAAUGCCCUGCUUCCAGGAAAAGCCUCUAAGCAUCAGGUAACAUUAAAUCGUACCCCAAACCGACACAGGUGGUCAGGUAGAGAAUACCAAGGCGCUUGAGAGAACUCGGGUGAAGGAACUA
rnacentral:rRNA from 1 species